rnacentral:sRNA from 1 species
UAUCGCCGCCCUCCUUGAGGGCGUUUCCUCCCUAGACUUGGGCCGCUUGUUGUUUCGAGCGGCCCUUUUUCUUACGCCGC